GAUGAACGCUGGCGGCGUGCUUAACACAUGCAAGUCGAACGGGAAACAUUUCAUUGAGGCUUCGGCGGAUUUGAUCUGUUUCUAGUGGCGGACGGGUGAGUAACGCGUGGGUAACCUGCCUUAUACCGGGGGAUAACAGCCAGAAAUGGCUGCUAAUACCGCAUAAGCGCACAGAACCGCAUGGUUCGGUGUGAAAAACUCCGGUGGUAUAAGAUGGACCCGCGUUGGAUUAGCUAGUUGGCAGGGCAGCGGCCUACCAAGGCGACGAUCCAUAGCCGGCCUGGGAGGGUGAACGGCCACAUUGGGACUGAGACACGGCCCAGACUCCUACGGGAGGCAGCAGUGGGGAAUAUUGCACAAUGGGGGAAACCCUGAUGCAGCGACGCCGCGUGAAGGAAGAAGUAUCUCGGUAUGUAAACUUCUAUCAGCAGGGAAGAUAA
rnacentral:rRNA from 1 species